AGUUACUGGCAAUAAAACUCUUUGAAGUUCUUCAUUCAGAAAUUCUCCAAGGACACUGUGCGCUGUACGAUUAAUUGAAUCAAUAAAGGACCAAGAAGGGUGUCUAUGAACAACCAAGAGUCUGAACAUUCCUAUGUUCUUACAACUUGAUUGGAGUCUCCUGUGGUAAAUUCAGCUGAUUGGACAGAAUUUGUAAAGACAAAGCCCGGUCUAUAUAAGGUCUCAUAGCUGAGAAUGCAUAUAAGAGCAUAAAACCAAGCCAUGUGGAGUAAGGACUAUCUGUAAAGCUCAAAGAGCACUGUAGCCUCCAUAAUUCUUAAAGGUGUAACAAAUUGUUGAUUUGAUCACUUCUAAACUUGGCCAUGUAAAGAAAUAUUAAAAUGAAAAAAAAAUUAAAGAAGAAAAUUUCAAGAAGCUGUCAACAAUUCAGAGGAUCACAUUUUCUGGAACAGUUUUCAGUGUCUGUUUUUAUAUUAUUGACUCAACAUUGUGUUCCAUGUGAAAAUGCAGUUAAUGAAUGCCAGUAUUCUUCUGCCUUACAUCAUAAUGCUUAAUUUGAUCACAUUUACCAAUAUUUCCUGAAAUGGGAAAUGUUUUAUUUUGUAUUAUCAUUAUCAUAGUCAAGUCAAAUCAUUCAUUUGUUUGCUGUAUCUUUGCUGCCUAACUAUCUUUCCUCAUUAAAAUGCAAACUGAACACAAAUAGUC